rnacentral:rRNA from 1 species
UACGAGGGGGGCGAGCGUUGUUCGGAAUUAUUGGGCGUAAAGAGCUCGUAGGCGGUUUGUCGCGUCUGCUGUGAAAACCCGAGGCUCAACCUCGGGCCUGCAGUGGGUACGGGCAGACUAGAGUGGCGGUAGGGGAGAUUGGAAUUCCUGGUGUAGCGGUGGAAUGCGCAGAUAUCAGGAGGACACCAAUGGCGAAGGCAGAUCUCUGGGCCGUAACUGACGCUGAGGAGCGAAAGCAUGGGGAGCGAACAGG